rnacentral:lncRNA from 1 species
UUUAACAUGACGCCACAGCGCUGUGCCGCGCCUAUAUUUCACUGUCGUCGAUACAAAAUCAUGAAUAAAAUCAAAUAACAUGACCAACACUGACACAAACGCACCUUAUUACAAUCUUGAAAGAAAUAUUCUUACUACAUGACCAAGUUGCCAAAGAUUAACGACACAAACACACGAAAUCAAUCCUCAGAAAUACAAACCAAACAAGAC